AUGGUGAACUUGAUCGAGGCGCAGAAGCCGCUGCUGACGGGGAUGAUGAGGCUGGCCGGGCUCCGCCCCAUCGACGUGGAGCUGGAGCCGGGCACCACCAUGCACGUCUGGGCUCCCAAGCACCACGCCGGCAAGAAAGGCACCACCAUCAGCCCGCACGACGCCAGCGCCGCCGCCGCCGCCGCAGGGGAAGACGCCGCCGCCACCAAGAAGCCAUCAGGCGGCCCUCGCGGGAGCAGGAGGAGGAAGGGCCCCGAGGCCAAGCCCAACGUGGUCCUCAUCCACGGCUUCGCCGCCGAGGGCAACGUGACGUUCCAGUUCAACUUCGGCGUGCUGGUGUCGCGCUACAACGUGUACAUCCCGGACCUGCUCUUCUUCGGCAAGUCGUCCACGACGGACAGCGCCGACCGGUCCCCGGAGUUCCAGGCGCGGUGCGUGGCGGCGGCGCUGGCGCGGCUCGGCGUGGCGCGCUGCGACGUGGUCGGGUUCAGCUACGGGGGCAUGGUGGCGUUCAAGCUGGCGGAGGCGCGGCCGGACCUGGUGCGGUCGCUGGCCGUGUCCGGGUCCGUGGUGGCCAUGACAGACGCCGUGAACCGGGAGACCAUGGAGCGGCUCGGUGCCGGGUCCUCCGCGGAGCUGCUCAUGCCGGAGACGCUCCAGGGGCUCAAGGCGCUCUUCUCCGUCUCCAUGUACCGGAAGAUGUGGUUCCCGGACAGGAUGUACAAGGACUACCUCAAGGCGAUGUUCACGAAUAGGAAGGAGAGGCUGGAGCUGCUGCAGGGGUUGCUAGACAGCAACAUGGAUGCAAAGAUACCGGCUUUCCAGCAGAAGAUAAUGCUGAUCUGGGGCGAGGAGGACAAGCUUUUCGACAUAGAGCUGGCCAAGAAGAUGAAAGAGCAGCUGGGGGAGAACUGCUACCUGCAGGGCAUCCCCAAGGCCGGGCACCUGCUCCACCUGGAGCGCCCCUGCGCCUACAACCGCCAGCUCGGCAGGUUCCUCGCCUACGUCAACUCCCAGGAAAACCAAGCCACCAGUUGA
rnacentral:rRNA from 1 species